ensembl:lncRNA
GGAAGUUUGAACAACUGCCAUUUUCAACCGAAACUUGCAUCAUGCUCAGAAGCCUGGAUAAAAUCCAUUGCCAUUUGAGGAUUAUUUGAAUAUCAGCAUUGAUGUUCGACGGGAAUGAGUCCUAAAAACUAUCUGUGUCUACUUAAAUAAAAAGCCAGAUGACCUGUUCAAGGAAUUCUUGGAUAUGGAUCUUAGUGCAAGAAGAGAAACGGAGCAGCUGACUUUAGGAGUCUGUGUUGUCAGACAUGAAGGAGCAGACUCUGCAGAUACACCUGAGGACAUUGGUGUCAUCAUAGAAGGAUACACUGUGCUGAAAGCUCUUAGUGAUGUGGCAAAGGGGUGUGCCCUCCUGCUUGGACUAAUCUACAGUCUAAAUCUGAGGUACCCAAAGCACCUG